rnacentral:rRNA from 1 species
UCCUACGGGGGGCAGCAGUGAGGAAUAUUGGUCAAUGGUCGGGAGACUGAACCAGCCAAGCCGCGUGAGGGAUGAAGGUACAGAGUAUCGUAAACCUCUUUUGUCAGGGAACAAAGGCGGGGACGUGUCCCCGGAUGAGUGUACCUGAAGAAAAAGCAUCGGCUAACUCCGUGCCAGCAGCCGCGGUAAUACGGAGGAUGCGAGCGUUAUCCGGAUUUAUUGGGUUUAAAGGGUGCGCAGGCGGUCUGUUAAGUCAGCGGUCAAAGCCCGGGGCUCAACCCCGGCCCGCCGUUGAAAAUGGCAGG